ACUCCUACGGGAGGCAGCAGUGGGAAUAUUGCACAAUGGGGAAAGCCCAUCGAUGCAGCCAUGCCGCGCUGUGUGAAGAAGGCCAUUCGGGCUUGGUAAAGACACUUUUCAGUAGGGAGGAAGGUAGUGUAGUUAACACCUGCACUAUUUGACGUUACCUACAGAAGAAGCACCGGCUAACUCCGUGCCAGCAGCCGCGGUAAUACGGAGGGUGCCCUGGACAAAGACUGACGCUCAGAUGCGAAAAGCGUGGGGAGCAAACAGGAUUAGAUACCCUGGUAGCGACUG
rnacentral:rRNA from 1 species